UACGUAGGGUGCAAGCGUUGUCCGGAAUUAUUGGGCGUAAAGAGCUCGUAGGCGGUCUGUCGCGUCUGCUGUGAAAACUCAGGGCUUAACCCUGAGCUUGCAGUGGGUACGGGCAGACUAGAGUGCGGUAGGGGAGACUGGAAUUCCUGGUGUAGCGGUGAAAUGCGCAGAUAUCAGGAGGAACACCGGUGGCGAAGGCGGUUCUCUGGGCCUUACCUGACGCUGGAGGAGCGAAAGCGUGGGGAGCGAACAGG
rnacentral:rRNA from 1 species